CAGUAGCCGCGGUAAUACGUAGGUGGCAAGCGUUGUCCGGAAUUAUUGGGCGUAAAGCGCGCGCAGGCGGAUAGGUCAGUCUGUCUUAAAAGUUCGGGGCUUAACCCCGUGAUGGGAUGGAAACUGCCAAUCUAGAGUAUCGGAGAGGAAAGUGGAAUUCCACGUGUAGCGGUGAAAUGCGUAGAUAUAUGGAGGAACACCGGUGGCGAAAGCGGCUCUCUGGUCUGUAACUGACGCUGAGGCUCGAAAGCGUGGGGAGCGAACAGGAUUAGAUACCCGGGUAGUCCCUGUCUCUUAUACC
rnacentral:rRNA from 1 species